CAACUUUUAAAGGACAGGAAGUUCUAAGCCAUUGGCCUUAGAAGCCAAACUCCU
rnacentral:tRNA from 1 species